AGCAGCCGCGGUAAUUCCAGCUCCAAUAGCGUAUAUUAAAGUUGUUGCAGUUAAAAAGCUCGUAGUUGAACUUCGGGGUUCACCCAUUGGUCAGGCUUAAUUGUCUGUACUGGUGAGAUGAAUCUCUACCUUCUGAGGAACUUUCAUGCCAUUUAUUUGGUGUGAUUGGAAAUCAGGACUGUUACUUUGAAAAAAUUAGAGUGUUUAAAGCAGGCUAACGUCUGAAUACAUUAGCAUGGAAUAAUGAAAUAGGACGGAUUGAUUCUAUUUCGUUGGUUUCUAGGACCACCGUAAUGAUUAAUAGGGAUAGUUGGGGACAUUAGUAUUCAAUUGUCAGAGGUGAAAUUCUUGGAUUUAUUGAAGACUAACUACUGCGAAAGCAUUUGCCAAGGAUGUUUUCAUUAAUCAAGAACGAAAGUUAGGGGAUCGAAGACGAUCAGAUACCGUCGUAGUCUUAACCAUAAACUAUGCCGACUAGGGAUCGGACGCAGUUAAUUUUAUAAUGACGU
rnacentral:rRNA from 1 species